UGCUGCUGCUGCUGUUGCUGCUGCUGCUGUUGCUGCUGCUGCUGCUGAGCAUGCCUCUGCAGUAGGAGUUGUUGCAUCUGCAGUUGCUGUUGCUGUUGCGGUUGCUGUUGAUGCUGUGGUGGUUGAGCUUGCUGCUGCUGUUGUUGCUGCUGCUGCUCCCGCGCUUUAAUGAACUGAGUCUCGAUAUAAGAUGCAGCAACCUCUGAGUGCUUCUCAUUUGUCCUUGCAAUAAAUAUAUCCCAGAAAACUGACCACCAUUCAAAAAGAAAGCCUCCAGGUGCAUCAAUAGCUACAGGAUCAGAUGAUACUUUUCCCUC
rnacentral:misc_RNA from 1 species